UGAGCGAGAAGCCUUCCUUCGGGAGGGUGGACAGCGGCAAACGGCGUAGUAAGGCGUAGGUUACGUACCCUUGGGACCGGGAUAGCCACGGGAAACUGUGGGUAAUACCGGAUAAUGUCCCCGGACCAAAUGGUGUGAUUCCGCCCGAGGAGCGGCUUACGUGGUAUUAGCUUGUUGGUGAGGUAAUGGCUCACCAAGGCUCCGAUGCCUAGGGGGUGUGAGAGCAUGGCCCCCACGACUGGGACUGAGACACUGCCCAGACACCUACGGGUGGCUGCAGUCGAGAAUCUUCGGCAAUGGACGCAAGUCUGACCGAGCGACGCCGCGUGCGGGACGAAGGCCUUCGGGUUGUAAACCGCUGUCAGAGGGGAUGAAAUCAUGGUUGGCUAUCCUUCCAUGUUGACAGAGCCUCAGAGGAAGCACGGGCUAAGUACGUGCCAGCAGCCGCGGUAACACGUACUGUGCGAACGUUGUUCGGAAUUACUGGGCUUAAAGGGUGCGUAGGCGGACAGUCAAGUCGGGUGUGAAAUCCCUCGGCUCAACCGAGGAACUGCGCCCGA
rnacentral:rRNA from 1 species